GAUUUAGCUUUCCUUAAAGAUUGUUAUAAAUUUUCCAAUGAGAGUGAGACACUUCCAUAGUCAUGGCAUUACAAGUUUGAGGCCUUAAUUACCCCUUUUGAAUUCUAGCGUUUCUGCUUCGUUGUAAUUUCUCAAAUUGCGGGGUUAAUGUUUGUUUUACCUUUUGUUGCAAUGUAAACAGAUAACAAGUCCACAAGCUUUAUGCUUG
rnacentral:misc_RNA from 1 species